AUUCUGCCCAAGCGGGGAAGGAUGAGAAGCUUCGACUAAGGUUCGACUCGAGCGCCAGCGAGAGAGCGUUGCCGCAGGCAACGACCCG
rnacentral:sRNA from 1 species